AUUGAACGCUGGCGGCAGGCCUAACACAUGCAAGUCGAAAGAGUGGCGGAGGGGUGAGUAAGGUCUGGGAAACUGGCCGAUGGAGGGGGAUGACUACUGGAAACGGGAGCUAAGACCGCAUACAAUCGGAUGUGCCCCGAUGGGCAUAGCUAGUAGGGGGUGUAACGGCUCACGUAGGCGUCGAGCGCUAGCUGGGCUGAGAGGAUGACCAGCCACCCUGGAAAUCAGCCACGGUCCCGCCUCCUACUGGAGGCAGCCGGAGGGAAUCUUGCACAUUGGUCGAAAGCAUGAUGCGGCCCUGCCGCGUGUAUGAAGAAGGCCUUCGGUUUGUAAAGUCCUUUCAGCGACGAAGCGUUACUCGCAGAAGAAGCCCCGGCUAACUCCGUGCCAGCAGCCGCGGUAAUAC
rnacentral:rRNA from 1 species